ACACCACACAAGGCUUGAAGCCAUG
rnacentral:siRNA from 1 species